CACAUCAAUGUUGCCAUCACCAAAAAAAAAACACUACACCUAAUAUUACUAAAUUAUUAAUAAAUUUAUAUUUUGCUCAUUCAACUUCAAAAAAUUACAAAAUGAUUAUUGAACUAAUAGUGAGCUUUCAUUUAACAAUCGAAAGACUUAAACGUAAACUUUUAAAUAAUUCAAUGACUAUUUUGUAACUUUUUGAAAUUAAAUGACUAAAAUAUAAAUUUAUUGAUAAUUUAAUGACCUUUAAGUGAAAUUUAAAAAAAAUACUAAAAAGUGCACCUCAAGAACCAAAACAACAUGCAUGAAAAUAUCCAAAGACAUGGUGGAUAAAACUGAACACCUAAACUUUAUAAAAUACAACAGGAAUUUGUUUAGUUUUUUUUUUUUUUUUGGUCUUAAUCCAAGACCACCCACACUAGAUGCUGCAAUGACGUGAUGAAAUUGAAGAUGGCCAACAAAUUUAUUUCAUAAGUCAGCCUUCUUAAAACACGUAGACAUCCAUUGUUAAUCCAGAAUUGCAUGAAGCAUGCUGCAGGCAUAUUUUGAGGUGAAGUUCUUGUAUCAACGUACGUUUAUAUUUUUGUUAAUUUGAAAUUUAUAUAUAUUUUUAAGUUAAAUUUAGUCAUUAGGUUUUUUAAUGAAAAUGUUGAUUAAAACAUUAAUUUUUUAACAAUAUUGGUGUGGCAGCCCACAUGAUGGUUUAUGUGUACUUCAUACUAGUAUGAUACUAUUUGUCUUAUAUGUCAUAUCAACAAAUAAUUUUAAAUUAUAUAUUCAAAAAUUCGAGAUAAAAAAACUCAAAAAUAAUUAAUAUGAAUUAUACGUGGAUUGCCGAAUUCAACUUAAAAAAGAAUAAGAGUAUAAUUUAUUUUAUGCCUUAAUAUUAAUAUCACAUAUGGUUAUUUAAGCUUUUCUUGGUCUAAAAUAUGGGUUUAUUUUUAGUAUUUAGUAUUAUAUAAUUAUUUAUAUUAUAUUAAUUUUUACAAGAUUAAAUAAAUUACAUAUUAGAAAAUUUUCCAAAAAAUUAAGAAGAUCUAAUUAAAAUCUAUUAAAAUGAUAUAAAGUAUUAUAGAGUUUUGUAACUUGCAAAUUAAAAUUUAAAAAUAGUAAUAAAAUUAAAAAAUAUAUAAUUUGAUAAAAUUUUCACAGCAAGAUAAAUGAAUUUAGAUCAAAUCCAUCUCCAUCCAAACUUGAUAAUUUUAUUAAAAAAUUGUAAUCCCUUAAAAACCCAAUUUCUUUUAAAAAAUUUAUAGUAUUAUUAAUGAAUAUAAAAAUAUAUAUUUUUAAUAAUUUUUAAUCUAAGUUUUAAAAUUUUUUAAUAAAUUAAAUAUAAACGAAUUGGUUGGAUCUGAUUUUAUAUAUAUAUAUAUAUAUAAAUCAGAUUUAAAUAUAAUAAAAAAAUCAGAUUUGAAAAAGAAGAAGAAAAAAACAUUAACUUCUCUAAUCAUGAACUCAUAAUGAAGAAAAAUGGGGUUUUGCUUGUCCAUGAAGUUUAACAUGUUUAGAAGUAGAUUAAGACUGUAUUUGUGAAGCAAUCAUUUGAUUGUUAAUUAAUCACUAAUUAUCAUUGAUAAAUGAUGAUUACGACCCACUAACUUACUGCAAAUCAAAUUAUUAGUUCCAUUAGUCAAGUCCAAAUUCCCAUCUUCGUUAACAAAAAUUUGGCAACCAAUUUUCAAAUUUCAGCCCCUCCAAAAAAUAAUAAAUAUUUUUUUUAAAAAUUAAGUCCUUUUCAAUAAGAUUCAAAUUUAAAUCAAGAUAUUGAUGUAUGUUUCUUUUUCUAUUUUUUUAAUAUAUGGAUAUGAUAAUAUUUAAAUAUAUUUAUGAACUUUUUAGGGUAAAUUACGUCAAUAGUCACUAAAUUAUGGGUAAGUUUCCGUUUUGAUCACUUAACUAAAAAAUGUUACAAUUUGGUCAUUAAACUAUUCAAGAGUUUUUAUUUAAAUUACUAGGUUGUUAAUUUUUUUUUUAAGUUCUACCAACAAGAUCCAAGCAACGAUCGGUAUGGUGGAUUAGUACCCAUCGACUAGUAGAAAAACAUACCUUAGAUCUAAGUCAAUCUGACAGCCAGCGUCGGAGAUCGGAGAGAAAAGAUGUUUGAAUUUUGGUUCGCAAAUUUGUGAUGUUUAAAGUUGUUUCAUGACUUAAUGACUUAAAGAAAAAAAUUCGAAUAAUUCAAUGACUAAACUGUAACAUUUUUUUAAUUAAAUGACCAAAAUGAAAAUUUAUUUAGUGAUCUACUAAUAAUAAACAGAAUAAUAAUUUUUUUAAAAAGAAUGUGAAAAUUUAUUAAUAAAAAAGAAAUAGUUUAGAGGGUGGGCGGGUGAGUGGUUGUUGAAAAUUCUAAUAUUCUUUUAUUGUAACUGCAAUUUUCUUUACUAUUACUAUGCUACUGCUGAAAAUUUUCUCUCUUAUAUUAUUUUAAAUUAUUGGUUAGGUUUUUGUCUAUUCUCAAGCUCUGAACAAUUAAUAUGAAAUUUACGUGUUAGGUUGUUUUGAUUUUUUCUUCUUCUUUUUUAUUAGUUGUAUUAAAUGUCCUAUCACUUCAAUUUUAAAUUAUUUUAAUUGUGUAUAUUUAUCAAUAAAUUCUUUUAUCAGUCUUAUCAUUAACUCCGGCAUCUAAUGGCAACUCAAAUUUACGUAAAACAUAUUUAAAAUACAUGAAUUAAAUUGCAAACAUGUUCGCACUUAUUACUGGUUUGGAUUUGACAUGUUAAAAAAAAGGCUUAUAUAACAUUUGGUUCCUGAACAUGACAUUUUUUUCUAAUCUGGCACCUAAACUUUUUUGGCUAAUUUGGUACUGAAAUCAUUUUUGGUCCAAGUUGGUACCUAAACUUGUUAAUACAAAUUACCCAAAACACUAGUGACGUUAAAAAAUUCAUGUUAUGCUACAAAAAUAUCAUCAGUAUUAGAGAAAAAUUGAGAUAUACUUAGCAAAUUAAUAUAAUAAGAGUUUUAAAAUCCUAAAAUACAAAUUUCAUUAUGUUGAAUUAAUAAAAUGAAAUAAAUACAUUAAACUAAAAGUAUUCGAGCAUUUAAACAAAAAAAGGAAUACCAUAUCAUGUACCACAUGUCGAUCAUAAAUUGAUUAUUUUUGCUACCUCAUAAAAAAUAACAUUGCUAAUAUUGAAAUAAUUUGUAUAAGUUCAGAUACCAAAUCUCACACACACAAAAGAAAAUUAGAUACCAAAUUGUGAAAAUAAGUCAAGAUUACAUACCAAAUUAAGAAAAAAAUGUCAAGUUCAAGUACCAAAUUAGAUAAAAGUGUCAUAUUCAAGUAUCAAAUGUUAUAUUAAGCCUAAAAAAUAACCCUUCUACGUUUUAAUUACAUUGUCUUCUUCUUUUUUGUUUUUUCAAUAUGUUAUAUUCAAGUGAUUUAAACAAUAGGUACACACGUGUUUACAAUUUUAUCCAGUGUCAUGAUAUAUCCAGAAAGAUUUUCAAGGACUAAAUUGAUAUGUAUAGUAAUAAAAGGACGUGAUUGAUACAAUAUUGAUACUUCAAAUAUUCAAUUAAAAUAUUUUAAAAUUUAUUAAACAAUUUAAAAUCUGGAUGAUAAUUUUGAAGAUGCUUGAUACAAUUAACUCGAAUUCUUUGGAAUCUUAGAAAAAUGAUUACCAAAGAACAUUUGGUUUGUUUCAAAGUACCCUCUUCAGCUAUUAUUUUCAAAAUACUAGAUAAGUUGAUGCUGUUUCAACUCAAUUUUCUACUUGUGUUUUUCCUCUAGCUGUUUUCCUUUGACAAUAUUUACAACCAUAUAUAUAGGUAAAUUUCAACCAACUAUAUUAUGUCUCAAAUUCUCAUAUACUACAUGGAGAUUCGGCAUUAGCUACCGAAGAAGGCGGCAACUUGAUCCGAUUUCUCCAACCACGAAGAGGCGAAUCGUGUUCGUUUUCCCCUUUCUUGGCGAGAAAUUCGUUGCUAUCAUCGGCUUCAUUAGGCACCACAUACACAAAUGGUCCCACAAAUUCAUCUUCAAACCCUUGCACUGAUUCCAAGACUAUGACCACAUCCCCCAUUGUAGGCCUUGGUUUGGGGUAAUGGCUCAAGCAUUUGUAAGCCAAUGCAGCCACUUUUUGAGCCCCUUUGUUGGAAUAUUGUCCCUCAAGCCUAGGGUCUAUUACCCUGUCAAGCCUCUUAGGGUCCCUCAAUAAUGGCCUUGCCCAUUCCACAAGGCUCUGCUCUCGACUCGGGCGGGUGUUAUCCAUCGAUCGUUUCCCUGUUAAUAGCUCCAAGAGAACGACCCCGAAGCUGUAAACAUCACUCAUUGUUGUCAAGUGGCCUGAAAAUAGCAUAUGAAAUUUUGGGUUAGGUACAUCACAUGGUUUUUGACUUUCCAACCAAUAACAUUUGAUUCGGCUUACCGGUCAUGAUAUACUCCGGCGCAGCAUAUCCUUGCGUGCCCAUCACUCGGGUCGUUACGUGCGUUUCUCCCCCUUCUGGACCGUCUUUUGCUAACCCGAAAUCCGAUAACUUGCAAUUAUAAUCCUGAAACCAACAUUGUUCUCUCAGUAAUUUCAUCAAACACUUCAAUAAAAUAUUAAGAACAUUGAACUGAAACUUUUAAGUCCUUACAGAAUCUAACAAAAUGUUUGAUGAUUUAAAAUCUCUAUAUAUCACUGGUUUAUCAGCUUCAUGCAGGAAAGCUAAUCCCUUUGCUGCUCCUAAAGCAAUUUUCAUCCUAGUUGACCAUGGCAAAGUAGCUGAAUACCCUGCAAAUUGAACCAAAAAAAUAUAUCAGAAUAUGCAUAUAGCCGAUAAAAUAACCAUGGAGGACUCUGUACUAAGAGUCAAAUUGUAUUUUGCCUUCUCUAUUUAAAAAAGGGACAAAUUAGUCCCUGUACUUCAGAUCAAAGAGAAAAUUGCUCCUUCCUGUUAAAAAUUUCUAUCCACUUGUACUGUCUUUUAGCAGAGAGGACAAAAUAUAAUUGACUCUUAGUACAUGAGCCUCCAUGUUAUGGAACGAACUUAUAAUCACGGUUACAUACUUCUAAAAAGUUGAUUCUCCAAGCUGCCUCUCGGCAUAUACUCGUAGACGAGAAGCCGGUUCUCGUCUUCAUAACAAUAACCAAUCAAUUUAACCAAAUGAGGGUGCCUAAGUUGUCCAAGGAAGAUAAUUUCAGCCUGCAAAUAAACACAAAUUUUCAGCACAUAAUAAAACCAUAAGUGGAGACCAAUAAGACUAAGAGGCCAAAAACUAACCAGCCAUUCUCUAUGACCUUGCAAGCCAUCCAAAUCAAGUGUUUUAACAGCUACAGGUUGAGCCUUUAAACCAGGUCUAAGCUUAUCAUCAACAAACCCUUUGUACACUGGUCCGAACCCUCCUUCACCAAGCAAGUUACACCGUGCAAAAUUGUGGGUUAUUAGCCUUAACUCGGCUAAUGUGAAGACAUAAAGAUUUGAACCAAAGAGUGAUGUUGAAAGAUCAUUAACACAGAUUGGUGAACUUGGAUCACUCACAUCUGAUAGUGAUAUUCUUUGGAACUGGCAUGGUUUCAAUUUCAAUCUGUUUUCCCCCGAAUCUGAUGAGUCUUUGCGUUUGUAACAGCUUGGCAUUAGUGAUUUCCAUGUGAUCUUCUUCUUCACUGUCAUUUUCUACUUUAAAACAAAAGAGAAAAUUUUGGGUUUUCCUUUUUUUCUCAGGAAACAAACACAAACAGUCCCUUUUAUCCAAGAAAAUGAGGGAAAAUUUUCCAGGGUGUUAAGGACUUUGGUGAAGGCUUAUGGGACUCUUUAUAGUACUUCCAUUGAUUCUUUCAGUUACCUACCACUCUCAUAUCCUACACGUAUAAAAGUCUCCAAUCAUUUCUUUUUCUUUGGUCUAAUUGUGUCUUCAUCCCUGUACUCUUUAUGCUUUUAAAAUUUAAUCCCUCUAUUUUUAAUUCCUCUACUUGUUUGAUUUAUAAAUUAAAGUCCAAUUGGGUUGUAUCAAAUUUGAAUAUAAUUAUACCUUUGAGUAUUAAAAUACAACAUAUUUAAAUUCAUUAAAGAUUCGAGGACUAUAUAUCAAAAGUAGGAAGAGUAGAGGGAUCGGAGGCAGAAUUAAAUGUUUUUCCCACCUCAUAUCUUGGAUUAUAAACAUUAAAGAUUUGAUGUUUAUAAUUUAUAUGAAAAAUUAAAAGAUAAAUAUAUUCUGAAUACAAAGCCUGUCUUCGUAUGUUUCCGCACCAGAAUACCUCUUGACAUUCAACUUCAAUUAAAAAGAAAAAUUCUAUUUUUUUUUAAUAAUUAGGCCUCAAUCAAAAAUGUUUUCCACAAUUUAGAAUGUAUGCAUGAAUCUCAAUUAAAUAAUACAUCUCUUUUAAUUUUAAGCUUUGUAAAUCAUUCUCAGGUACAUUGAAAAAGAAGGUUAAAAAACGUCAUUUUUCACUUUUGGGUCUCAAAAGUGGCACUGUAAAGAAAAUGUAGUUUUUGUCUGCAUGUUGUUGGGUAAAACUUAUUCAUCAAUCUCAAAUUUUAUUGAAGAUGGAGGUUUCUGAAGUGGAAAUCCAUCCGGUAUGAGUGAGAUUGUUUUUUUUGUUUUUUUAAAUAAGUAAAUUANNNNNNNNNNNNNNNNNNNNNNNNNNNNNNNNNNNNNNNNNNNNNNNNNNNNNNNNNNNNNNNNNNNNNNNNNNNNNNNNNNNNNNNNNNNNNNNNNNNNNNNNNNNNNNNNNNNNNNNNNNNNNNNNNNNNNNNNNNNNNNNNNNNNNNNNNNNNNNNNNNNNNNNNNNNNNNNNNNNNNNNNNNNNNNNNNNNNNNNNNNNNNNNNNNNNNNNNNNNNNNNNNNNNNNNNNNNNNNNNNNNNNNNNNNNNNNNNNNNNNNNNNNNNNNNNNNNNNNNNNNNNNNNNNNNNNNNNNNNNNNNNNNNNNNNNNNNNNNNNNNNNNNNNNNNNNNNNNNNNNNNNNNNNNNNNNNNNNNNNNNNNNNNNNNNNNNNNNNNNNNNNNNNNNNNNNNNNNNNNNNNNNNNNNNNNNNNNNNNNNNNNNNNNNNNNNNNNNNNNNNNNNNNNNNNNNNNNNNNNNNNNNNNNNNNNNNNNNNNNNNNNNNNNNNNNNNNNNNNNGGUUGCUUUGCUGGGGGUUCCAAUGGCCUUAGGCUUCCUAGAACUCGUGUCACUUCAUGCAUUGUUGGUCGAUCCGAUGGGUGUCUCUUGGUGCAUAGAAGGGCAAGCUGAAAAACUUUCUUAACAGCUCCAAGAUCUUUGCAAGUUGCAGUGAUCUCCGGAUCAAUGGUUUCCAUGACGGCAUCAUUAGCAGCCUUUGACAGAAUCUGUUAAGAAUGUGAUAUCAAUACAGUUUUUAAACUACUUCAAACCCGAAUUAUAGAUGGAUAUAAAAACUUACCAGAUGAUGAAGACUGGAUUCAUUGUCUACAGGUUUCCUUCCAGUUAGUAACUCAAGUAGAACAAUCCCAUAGCUGUAAACGUCAGAUUUCUCAGUCAGGCGAGAAGUGCGAGCAUAUUCAGGGUCUAUAUAACCAAUGGUGCCCAUUACGUAUGUAGAAGUGUGAGACUUUGAUAUGCAUAAGCUUUUAGCAAUGCCAAAAUCAGUAAGAUGAGCCUCUAAAUCCUUGUCCAACAAAAUGUUUGAUGACUUCACAUCCCUGUGGAUGAUUCGUGGACUACAGUCAUGAUGUAAAUACGCUAACCCUUGUGCAGCUCCAAGUGCAAUCUUCAAUCGAAUGUCCCAACUGAGAACUUUCCUCUUGGUAGAAACUGCAAGAAAAGAACAAACUUGUAAUUCAUGACACGUAAAUGAGCAUAGAGAGAAGCUAAAGAAACACCAAAACAUAUUCUAACACAUGGAACUGGUUUGUUCUUGGAAACAAACUUACCAUGGAGGAGAUCCCAGAGACUGCCAUUUUCCAUAUAGUCAUAGAAGAGAAGGUUCCGAGACGGGGAGAGAGAAUACCCUUGAAGGCUGACCAGAUUUCGGUGCUUAAUACUCCCAAUUGUCUCGAGUUCUGUCUCGAAUUCCUUCAAGCAUUGUGGAUAAUGAGAGUAAAGCCUCUUGAUGGCAACUGGCCUGCAAUUCUUAAGAACACAUUUGUAGACCGUGCUUGAUGCACCACUACCAAUUAUAUACUUCUCACUCAGAUUCUCAGUCACCCUCAUAAUGUCCUCGUAUACAUGAAGUGCCAUAUUCAUGUGAAGGAUCACCAAUUUCGGUCUCGAGUAAGUAACUGCCGUCAAGAAGUCCAUGAAUCAAUAACAAGGACCAUAAGUUUCAAUAAGGUAUCUUUAAGAAAAAGGAACAAAAACUGACUAACAGUUCGCAAUAAGUAUUUUUAUGUACUAUAUGCUCCAAAUCAAGAGGACUUCAUAGGUUUACACAUAAAGGAGAAGGCAAGGCACCUGGCUUAUCCAGUGAUCCAUCUGGAAAAGGUGUAGGAUUGUGCGGGCGACAUGCUGCGAUCAAGAUCAUUAAAAGAAUCACAAGAGCACCAAGUGCAAUGCCGAGGAUUGCAGCUUUAGAGAUUGAAACUGCAUAGAUAAGUGAGCACAACAAAAUGAAUAAUCAACCAAAGAUAACUGACAGAUUAAACAUGCCAAGAAAACAUUGACCAACUACAAUAGGGAAUGGUAGUUGCCAAGAACUCCAUGCAUAGGAGCCAAAACAAACUAUGAGGUGGUAGCUCAUUGUUUUGAUAUCCGUUUUCUAGUUCUAAUGCCUUUUCAGUUUCUAACUUUAACAUCAGCCUUAAAGCUUAUAGCCAUUCAUAGUAUCAACGUAUAAGAUAAAAAUACAUCACUCUCUAAGGUAAUCAAUACCUCUCUCCGUGGGAUGAGACCCGUGGCAUGUAGAAGAAAGCCAAUAGCCACAGAGCCCGGGAUUUCCAAUGAAACUGCAAUGAGAUGGCAGUUUGAACUCAGCUUUGCUUGCGAAAAAAGGUAGCAGCUAAAUAUAGCUUUUCAGUUCACGGAUAUUUGUUUAGAAUGCAAACUAGCGAAAUCUUACCUGUCUGGUGAGAAUCUUGAAAAGUUAUUGCUUGUGGGAAUAUCACCUGCAAGAUUGUUAUGGGAUACAUUCCUGCAAUGUUUCAAGAAAAGUUAGGGGAUUAUAUAAUGCAACCCUAAACCGAAAAUAAAGUACAAAAUCUAGUGAACCGUCAACUCACAAGUUGGUAAGACUAAUACAGUUGGUUAGUGACAUCAAAUCUCCGGAUAAAUUAUUGUUUUCUAUUCUCCUGCAUUAUAUAGAACCAGCAGCUUAUAAACAAGAGCAAAUAUUCUAUUCUAAGUCAAGACCAUAUAAGAUAUUUAGGCACAUGAGGUGUUUUGCUAGAGCGUUAAGGUUUUGCGAAGGCCAUAAAAUUGGUAAAGACUAAUACAGUUGAUUAGUGACAUCAAAUCUCCGGAUGAAUUAUUGUUUUCUAUUCUCCUGCAUUAUAUAGAACCAGCAGCUUAUAAACAAGAGCAAAUAUUCUAUUCUAAGUCAAGACCAUAUAAGAUAUUUAGGCAUAUGAGGUGUUUUGCUAGAGCGUUAAGGUUUUGCGAAGGCCAUAAAAUGCCACCAUUUAUUCCAACAUGUUCUCAUUAAUACAGAUACAAUCAAUGGAAGUGUUGUGUAUGCCGGCAUGUUCUUUCCAACACUUAAAAUGUUCGGAAUUGGUGCUGAAAAAGCAACUUACAAUGAGUACAGGUCCUGAAGCUGUGCAAGUUCCCGAGGAAUAAUGCCUGAGAGAUGAUUAUUUGAAAGGUCUCUGCAAUGUAGAAGCAUAAGACAAGUACUACUUAAGGCUCUAACCUAUUUCUAUUUUCAUGGCAGAAAAAUCAAGAUUUCUUACAUUUCUAAAACGCUUCUUAGGUUACCAAAUUCUGCUGGAAUGACUCCGGUCAAAUUAUUUCUGCUUAAAUUCCUACAAGAACAAAUAAAGCAAUGAUAAAAACAUUUGCUAAUCACUUAAACUAGAAGGUUGUAUAUGAUUUUCCCGAUGUACUCACAGCUUCAGAAGGUGUUCCAAAUCACCGAGAGAUGAAGGAAUGGAGCCACUAAUUUUGUUGUUAGAAAUGUCCCUAAAAACCAAACAACAAAUAAGAACAAAAAAAAAAUCAACAAAGAGGAAGACCUUAUGGCACUUAAUACUUACAAUGUAUCUAAAUUCCCGAUACGUGAAAGCUCAAUUGCUAUAAAACCCUUGAUAUCAUUCGAGGAGAGAUUCCUGAGAUAAAAAAAUUCAUGAUUAAAGCGAUGAUAUUUCUAAGGUACAUUAUGCAAGAUGCUUAGCAUUUGAGUCACGCAUUUUGGUAUAACAAGGCCGAAGCUUACAAAUAAGUCAUACUCUCUAGCCUUUCAAAAGCAGGUGGAAUGGUUCCAUUCAACUUGUUUCCAUGCACAUUGCUGUCAUCAAAAUCAAUCAAUCGAUAACUACCUUAAAACUGUUCAAAUUUAAAAGAAUAAAAAUUAUGGAAAUGAGAUCAAUGCUUACAGGCUGUUGAGAUUUGUACAGGAGCUAAGAUUUUCAGGAAUAGGCCCUUCAAGAUGGUUGUUGGCAACAUUUCUGCAAAAAGUUGUAUCAGUGAUUAUGGCAUAGCUUAACUUAUACAUUUGAACAACCAGUAGGACUAACAUACAGAUCAAACAGUUCCGUUAACUUCCCUAGCUCAGGUGGAAUAAGUCCUGUAAGAUAAUUAUCAUUCAGCUCCCUGCACAAAGCAAACCGAUGCUUGAGAUGGCUGAAAAUUGCUUUUAUAGGUAUCGACAUAACCAAUGUUUUAUGUGGACAGUCGAGAUAUAGAGAAGAAGUUUGGCAGAGGCCACUUAGCACCGGAAAUAUGAAACAUAAACAAAGAAAAUUAAUCUUACAAGUAGUGAAGCUUUGUCAUAUUUCCCAGCUCAGGAGGAAUUGAUCCAGACAGUUGGUUACCAAGCAAAUAUCUACAGCAUAUGGUAUAUGGCCAUCAAAACAUUGUUCAAGAAUAAUACUAGCAGCUGUGUCAUUAUACUUUGCGUUCCAUAUUCUAAAACUUACAAGUUGCAAUCAGGACUAACAAAUGAUAUUGAAAUAUACAUACAGUAAGUACCUACUUACAAUUUUUCUGUGUAGGUCAGAUUCCCUAAGAUGGGAGGGAUUGGUCCACUUAACUUGUUGCAGCUUAAAUCCCUGGAUAGUAUACACAAGAAAACAACCAUAGAUAAGAUUGAUAACACGAUGAAAAGAGAGAAUUCAAAUGAUGGUUAAAGGCACUUACAAUACAGCAAGUGCUUGCAUAAGGCCAAUAACAGAUGGAAUCUUCCCAGAAAGACGAUUACCUUGCAAAGAUCUAACCAGGAAAUUGGAUAUAAAACUAAGUAGUUUGUAGGUACAUUGUCAUUAAAAAGGAAAAAAGAAGAGGGAUUUUCAGGCACGUACAAUGUAGCUACUUGCAAGAACCCAAUAUUGAAAGGAAUUUCCCCGGUUAGCUGGUUGUACGACAAGUCCCUACCAAUCACAAGAAAGGGAUGUUUUUGGUUAACCAAUAUAGGCACUUUGAAAGCAUUAAACCUCAUUGAACUAAAUGAUGAGUACAUACAAGACCUGGAAAGCCGUGCAGUUGCCUAUAUUCUGAGGGAUGUUACCAGUUAAACUGUUGUUUCUCACAUCACUGCGAACAAUAUUGAGUUUUAGUUAAAACCGGAAAAGAGUCUUACGUGUCAAAAGACAGAAAGUCAGUCAUGAACAAGAAGAAGAAGAAGAAGAAUAGUAAGGAAACUUACAAGUACCACAAACCAGUUAGCUGGCACAUGUCUGGAGAGAGUGUACCUACCAGAUUGUUUCCUCGCAAACCACUACAAAGAGGAAGAAAAGAUAGGAAUUAAAAGCAUCCAAGCUAAGAAUUUAUGAGAAGAUAUGAUUAGAUAGAAAUAAUAAAUCGGACCGUCAUACAGUGAAAGAAAAGGUGCAGUAACUAUUGUACACUCACAGAUACUGUAACACUUCGUUCCAAUAGAUAAGCCUUGGUAUUUCUCCACUCAGUUUAUUUUGUGAUAGGUCCCUGGAAACAAAUAUCAGGGCAAGAAAAUUCCAUCAAAACAUCAGGUGAAUUAUAAGGCAAUAUAAAGUAAUAAGAAGAAAGAACUUACAGAACUUUCAAGUUUGGAAUCUGCGACAAUGUUGAAGGUAUCGGUCCAAUUAACUGAUUGUUUUUCAGAACUCUGAACAGUCAUUUAAAAGUUUCAAAUUAGAAGAACUGAGCAAACUGAGAAUUAGCAGUAACGCGAUAUAUAGUGAGAAAUGCUUCGAAUUAACUUACAGGAAUUCCAGUUGCCUCAGUUUCGAUAUUGAAAAUGGUAUGUCUCCAUAUAACUCAUUAAAAGACAGGUCCCUAAUAACUCCAACAAAACAAUGUUCAGUUUAACUUACAAGAUGCUUAACCAAACUUCAAUUGAGCUCUGUUCUAGUAAACUACUUACAGGCUUUUCAAUGAUGAACAGUCACCAAUCUCGUCCGGUAUUUGACCAGACAAACGAUUUCCUCUAAGGUCACUGAUAAUAAAAAAAGACACAACCUUUAUCAGUCUCAAUCAAAUUUCAUGCAUAAGAGCAACUAAUAUACUUACAGUUUAUAUCAAAUUUCUCAUAUUAUAGAACAAAGAUUGGAUUUCAAAGAGAAAAGGCAAUGAAAAAUAAACAGUACAUUGUAACAAGGUCCUUGAGCUUUCCAAUAGCUGUUGAGAUUUCCCCAUCAAGAUUUAAACCUGACAGGUUACUACAGUACCAGAAACCAAACAAAAAACAAGGAUCAGCUUUUAAAAAAAAACUAAACUUUUCUGGCAAAACCAAGAAAGAAAAUAUCUUACCAUAAAGAAUGUCAAUGACCAACAUAGGCUAACAAGUGAAAAGAGAAAUGAAUUAUAGUAUCAAAACUUACAGUGCAACGACAUUGAAGGUGACAUUGUCACAAGUGACCCCUCUCCAAACACAGUAAUCUGAAGAUGGUGUAUCUGUCCAGUCAUAUAGAACAUUGUCCACAUCUUUAAAAGACUUCUUUAUCUCCAACAGUGUUGUUCCUUUAUUACAUUACAUAACAUAGGCAAAAGCAAGAAAUGUUGGUUUCAUUGCAGAAAAAAUUAAAUUAAAUACAAGGACAGACAACAUAAACAAUCAAUCUAAUGUUCAAAACCUUUUGGAAGAGAAAAAAACAUCAAAAGAUUGUUGCUUCAAGCAUGAGCCUUAAGCGUUAGGAAACAAGCAGCAAAUUUAAUCUUUAAAUUUUGAAUAAGAAGUUUGACUUAACUAACCAUUAUUUUCUUGUAUUUUCAAACCAUCCAAACAAAACCAGAAAAGGAGACUUUUUUUUAUAUGAAAAAAGAAAAGAGAUCACUUACCAUCUUCAGAAUCCACAAAAGCAAAACCCAAACAAAAGAGAGAAACCAAGAAGACAAACUCCAAAUGAAAUACCGAUGUCAUCAUUUCACCUUAAGAGAACACAAAAACAAAACAACCUUAGUUUUUUCAAAACAAAACCACCCAAAAACACCAUAUCUGAGCCAGAGAGAGAGAAAUAGAGGGAAAUAAACCACUUUGAAAAAACCACAGAGGAGAAAACCUCUUCUUUUUGAACUCACCGACAUGGAAAACGAUGAUGGAGAACCAAAAAACACACACAGAGAGGAAGAAAAAGCUUUAUUUUUUUUCUUAUGACACUUCACUGUUAUAGUUGAUCUUGUACCCUACUAUUGUUAUUAUUUAUUUUUUUCAUUUUAUGCAAAAAAAAAUUUCUUUUACAAGGUAAAACGAUAAGAAGAAGAAGAACAGCAAAGGACUGAGGGAUUCUGGCUCGUUAUAUCACAUCACUCUGCCACAUUUCACACACCCUCUUUCUUCCCUAUAUACAUUAUACAGCUCCCUCCUAAAGGGAAAAAAUACUUACAAACUGUUAAAAAAACACAUACACAGAGAGAGAUAGAGAAAGAAAGAGAGAAGAAGAAGAAUUAUUUUCACAUAUAAAGUUAAAAAACUCUCUGCCAUUUUGCUCUGCCAUUUCCCCUGCAUACUGCAAAAACACCCCAUCUCUCUCUCCCUCUCUCUCUCUUAUUAUCUUUCUUUUAAUUUUUUUCUCCAUUUAAGGGAAUAAUAAUAGACUAAUUCAUUCUUACAUUAUGAAACAAAUCAAGGGGUUGUUUUAAUUUUUUUUUCUUAUUUGUCAUGUUUUCAAGAUUAGUAUCAUUGGAUCCGGUAGUAAAAAUAUCAUUACUUUUAGUAAGAUUUUUGAAUUAUUAAUAAAAAACAAUAAUACAUUUUUUAAUAAAAACAAUUUGUGUAAGAGUUAAUUAUAUCUUGUCUUUUUUAUUUAAAAUUUUGAGUAAAUUAAUUUUUAUAUGUUUAAUUAAAGAGCAAAUUGAUUCAUCCGUUACUAAUUUUAUUUAUUUUUACAGUUAAAAAAUUAGUCUUUGUACAUCAACUACGUAUUACAUAUUACUGUCAAGUUAUUCUGCCAGCUACACAAGUUUUUAACGGUACAAAUAGAUGAAAAUUUUAACAAAAAAAAUACUAAUAUGCUAUUUGAACUGAUGUAUAAAGAUUAAUUUGAUUUUUUUUAGUAAAUGAGUAAAAUGCAAUCUAACUUCUACGGCUGAAAUCUUCAUGGUACUUUUACUUGAAAAAUAUCCGUUAUGUUGAAGGAUAAUCAAUAUCUAUACUAUUAAUAAAUCUUUGAUUGAGUUAAUGUUACAAGUCAACCGGACAUCAAGUUAAUUAGAAAAAUUACAAUAAUAACUUUUUUGUAUUUAAAAUAAAUUAUAUGAUUUAAGGGUAAUUUAGUAUUUUAAAUUUAAAAUUAAUUAAAAAUAUACAUAUAGUGGAAUUUGGGCCAUGUCAAUUUCAUUGAAAAAGCUUUAAAAUUAUCACUCAACCAGUGUUUUAUUUUAAUUUAUUUAUACAUUUUAAAUUUAUUAUGCACACUUUAUUACCCCAAUAAUUGUAUAUUUAUAUUACUAUUAAUAAAAUCUCUAAAUGAGUUGGUAUCAUGAAUCAAUUGGACACCAACUCGGUUAGGAAAAUUAUAGAAUAACCUUCUGUAUUUAAAAUAAAUUAUAUUAUCUGAGGAUACUUUCGUCUCUUAUUUACAAAAGAACAAUAGGAAAUAUGUAUAUUGAUUUUCUUAGUCUCAUGUAUUCAUGUGUUUAAAUUUUGCUUUACUUACAAUUUAAUCUAUUUUUUAUUUUAAUGUCGUAUAUAUUUCAUAUGUUAUUAUCAAUUAGUUUCAAAGCAUACAUCUUAUUAUUUGUUGUAUGUUAUCUCUAAACAUACAUCUGUGUUCUAAAUAUGUAGGUUCCACACACAUACACAUGUGAUAAAGUUUCUAGUAUUGUAAUGUUAUUAUUUGAGUUGAUGUCACAAGUAAACUCAACACUAGCUCAAGAUUAAUGAUAAUCUCAUAUUACGUGUGAUAGAAAUACUAGUUAUUAUAAUAAAAAUUCAAAGAAAUAUUAUUAUAAUAAUAUUUUUAUCUUAACAACGAAAAAGCUUUAUUUAAAAAUCGAAUACCAAAUCAAUAAAUUUAUUUAAAAAUCUCUUAUAACUCUACCAAAAAUCAAUAUAUUUUAGAUUUUGUUCGCUUGAUAUUAAAAUACGUGUAAUUUAGUUGGUUUUUUUUAGUGUGAUAUUUGGUUUUUGUAUAUGUUGUUUGUGUAGGGAAGCGUGUACUAUUUAUAGUAAAACAUAUAGGGUUGUUUUUUAUUUUAUAAUUUUAAAUAUCCUGUUUGGCAGUUACAAGUUACUUUCCGUUGUUAACUGCUCUCCCGCCAAAGAAUAAUCGCCGUAUUAUUAGUUUAACUCGGCGUUUUUGACGAUUACGAACCCUUUUUAGAAAUCAAAAUAGCGGAUAACAAUACAAAUAUAUCAUCCAUGGUUUAUUUAAGUAUUAAUUGCACAAUUAUGAUUCACAUUUUAAAAUAUUUUAAUUAAGCAUUUAAAGUACGACUGUCAUACUAAUUAUUUUCUUUUAAUCUAAUUAUUAGCUGAUGCAUUAAAUUUUAUGUAAAGCAUAUUUAAAUUUUUUUAUAAUUUUUUUUAUACUUGUCAUCAUCUCAAUUAUUAAAUAAAUUUACCUUUGGAUUUUAAAAUUAAAAUCAAUCAUAAGGGAAUACAGAAUCUUGAAAAAAAAGAUUGAAUUAUUAUAUGGUAAGAAAAAAGAAUAAAUUAAGGGGCCACAAGAAAAGGCUAAUCCGUACACUGAAGUAGGGAAGAAAAUAGCUUAAAAUUAUUUUUAAAUAAAAAACAAAAUAUUUUUUUAUUAUUUUUGUAAGUGGUUUUUUUAAACCUUGGGAAGGUCAAUUGUCGCCUUCCCCUCACAAUCUCUGACAGCUACCCCUUCUUCGCUUUGAUGAUGGAAGCGUUUGUUGGGUCCUACCUUUUACUGACACUUUUGACGCCGUCACCUCUUCUCUCUCUCACGCCGUUAAUGUUUCUAUUUUUACUGUAACUGUUUCCCUUUUACUGGCUUGGGUUUAGAUUAGUUCUCUCCUUUUUUAAAAAUAAAUUAUCGUGAUGAAAUAAAACAAAGAUACUUUAUGAAAACGCGUAAUUGUGAAUUCCUUCUUCUUCUUUUUACUUCCAUAACAAAAAGUUGUAAUCAUCAACUCGAUUCCAAAAAUACAUGAAUGCCUAACCAACCUAUCAAAAAUAUUUUCGAUCUUAGCAUAUCCAUCUUCCUGCAUAAUGCAAUGUGUUAGUAACUUGGCUGCUUCUCUUGUUACACCUCAUGUUCGAACAAUAUCAUGGUACUUGUCAAAGUUUUUGGAGUUGGCAUGUUUGACUUUUUAACUACAUGGCACUUGAUUCUAUUUUGUUAAGCAAUAAGUGAGUAGCUAGGGAUGUUUGAGAUGAAAUUAAUUAAAUUAUCAUUUAUUCGAAGGAGAUGAUUGAGUAUCUUUAUUCUUAUCUCAUAGAAGAGUUUUUAAGGCGAUAUAAUAAGCUGAUUUAUGAAUGAAUAUUAUUCAAGAUAAUCCAUGUGAUAAAAUUCGGAUUCAAAAAAGUUUGAAUCCUUGAUUGAGUCCUUUUUCAUAUGGUGACAAUGUUGAAGGAAUUAAAAGUUCAACUUUAACUAGGACUUUUUAUCAUCUUAGAAGAUAAGCCGCUAAUCAAAUUUAUUUUAAAUGGGAGACUUAUUUGCUAAGGGGUUUAUUAUAUUUACUUCAAGUAGGAUUGAACUUAUUGAAGGUUGUUGACCUAUCCUAAUUUGACUUGGAGAUGAAGUAAUUUGAAGACUACUUAUAGGAUGUUGAUUUCACGUAACAGGGUGUGCUUAUUGUGGGUAAUUUUCUUAAGAAUUUGAAAGUAGAUUAUUGUGUAUUCAAACCCCUCUUAUUCGGGAAUAUAUUGGAGAUUAAUUAUUAAUUGAAUUGUGAGGUUUUAAGGAGAGUGAUUGUGACAAUUUGAGUUUGACUUUAGGAUUGCAAUUAUCCAUUGUGAAUGGAUAAAUUGGACUUAAACUAAUAGUUGUACAAAAUGAAUUGUUGAACAAAAUCAUUCUCUGAGUUAAUCUCCGCAGACAGACGUAGAGACACUCUAUAUGUUUUCAAACCCAUAUUCGUUGGGAAGAUUGCUUUAGACCCAAAAAUCAAAUUGAAAAGUGUUUCACCAAUGUGUGCGCGUGUGUGAAGUAGUUCAAAAAGGUUAUAAUAUAUUUGGAAACUCCUCUAGCCAUGCAGAUUGCCUAACCAAUUUGUUGGUGGGGAGUUUUAUUGAGCUAUGAGCAAGAGAAAUGUAAAUUUUUUUUUGUAAAUCUCUUUAAAUUUUUGUCUGAGACUUUGUUCAAUUUUCCACGAUUAAUAAGUGAACAUUGUAUCAUCAUACGAUAGUUUUUUCAAACAAAUUAUCCAUUCAUAUUUUUAGUGGUAAUAGUUAGAGUUUCUACCUCCAUCCAUUUGGUGAAACACUUCAUAAUAAUUACAGUGAAUUUCUUUUAUGUAAGAAUGUUGGGAAAAUGACCCAAAAUGCCCAUGACCCAAAAUUUUCAUUUCCCUACAUAGCUAAUCAUUAAUUGAAGAGGCUCAAUUGGUUGGUGAGUGAUCAGUUAACAUUUUAUACAAAAAUAUUAAGGACAACUUUAUAGAACAAAGUAAUAACAAUUAGAUCACAUAUUCAAGUGUACAAAGUUAAAUAAUUACAAUUUCACUAAAAUACACAAGAAUUUUGUUUGAGGUACAAAGUUGGAUAUGGCAAUUGAUGAUGGUUUACAUGGCAAGCAUGCUGAGAGACGCUUGAUGUUGGAAAGAGGGAGAGAAAUAUUUAUGAAAGUUUGAAAGAGAGAGAGAGAGAGGUUGCAUGUCCCAUGUACGAGUUUUUGAAUUGCUUAUAUACAAGUUCUUUUUGUGGCUCUCAUGCUGCCAGCUGUCUUCUAUAGAGUAAGCUUGAUGAGUCAUGGUGUCCUUUAGACACGUGCCUUUGAUGAUUAUGAAUGAUCAUGUCUUCAUAAGUUCGUCUGAAUAAAUCGUGAUGGGACCAGGUAAAAUUCAAUAGCAAAAAAGGUGGUGAAGUACAUCAAUUAUGUAUAGAAAAAUAUGGCUCCUUAGCGAGAUAGAGCUAGUGUGAUGAGAUACUUAUGAUUGUCAAGUUGGAAAACUAUAGUGAAAUAUAAUUCUAGCAAAGUAUAACAAAGUUUAUUGGAGAGAAUCAUCUAAAAUUGGUGAUAUCAAUUUAGUAUUAUUGACAAAGGAUCCAAUAAUCACAAAUACCACCCAACAAAUUUAUGGGAAGUUUUAUACUUCUACUUGAUCAGUUUGUUGAAUUAAAUGUCAUCUUUGAGAGGAUACCUUGUUUCAUAAAAUAAAUAACUUAUUAUAGAUAUCAUAAAAAUUUCCCACUUUCAUAAUUAAGUUGAAAAAGUUACUAAGAAUUAAAAUGGUAAUAACUGCAGAGUUAGUUUGAAAUAUAAAAUGUAACUUUAAAAACUCGACCAAUCAAAUUUCAAAUGGAUCAAGUUAAAUGUAAGAAUUUGAAUUUUUUUUAAGUUGCAAAGGGUUAGAUAAAACAUGCCAUGUCAUAUCGUAUUAGUUUAAUUAAGUUAAUCUAAUAAAAUUAAUAGUUUUUUUCAUCUUUUAUGAUAAUGAAAAUAUUGCUAGUUCCCCCCUAAUGUUUAAGGACUUUUUUGAUCAUGUUAAAAAGUAUAGGGAUCAAAAUGCACCACUUCUACAGUAGAAAGACAUGUAAAAUACUUUAUAAUAAAUGUUAAUAUAAAAAUAAAUUUAAAGGUUAUGCGAAACUUAUGCCUUAUUUGAUAACCAAUUGAAACUUAAUAUUUUCAUUAACUUAAAAUUUUUAAAUAUAUUUUAUAAUAAAUAUUAAAAAUGAUUUGAUAGAAUUUUUUCAUAAAAAUAAUUGGAAAGUAGGUAAGAAGACCUAUUUAGUGUCUCUUAGUUUCAAAAUUAAACAAAUUGAUCUUAGUGUCAAUUUUGAAAGUGUACAAUUAAGGAAAUUAAUCACAAUGUUAUUGUCCUUUAUCAAUUGUACAUUAUUUUGAUUGGUGUAACAAUAGAUUUAGCCCUUAAUAUUUACACGUUUUGUCAAUUUGGUUUUAAUUCUAAAAAAAAUAUAUAGCAAAUUUAGCCUCAAUAUUUACACAGAUGUUGUAGGUUAAAUUUGUUAAAUCGAGACCACAUUGGUAGAAUGUCUAAAAUUUAAGAGUUAAAUUUAUUAUUAUAUCAAUCAAACUUAUGUACAAUUAAUGACGAUACAUUUAUCUAUGAUUAGUGUAAAAAUAGCGGUAAUAAUAAAAUUAAAUAUUAUAAUGUUAAAAAAAACAACUAAACACAUUGUAUUAAAAAUAAACACACAUUCAAAACCAUCUUAACAUCAUUAAAUGAUUUAUGCCAAUCUUUUCAUAAAUUAUUGUAGUUAUUUGUAUACAAUUAAUGUUAACUUAUAAUUAAUGUAAAUUCAAAUCAUAAUAUACAUGCACGACAUAUCAAAUCUGAGUGGAAACGUGGCCUCGUGCCUAUAUGAGCCCCCCCCCCCCUUUUUCUUUCUUUCUAAAAGCAAAUUUUUAAUAAGGGUGAAUACAGGGUAAGUAGAGCUUUUUCUUCAAAAUAAAAAUAAAAAUUGCACUUCUACCUUCGUAUGAUUAAAUUAUAAAUUAAUAUAUUAAAAUAAAAAAUUAUCUAGUCUCUUAAAAAUAAUAAAAUUAUAAAUUAAUAUAUUUUAAAAUCUAUAUUUUGACAUAAAAAAUUAUAAUUCAAUUUUAGUCUCGCUACAAAAUUUUCUGGAUUUGUCUCUGUUUCUUAAGUAAUAUAUUGGAUACGAGUCUUAUGAAUAGAAAAAAUAAUAUCGAAAAACUUUAUCCUUUAUUUAAGAGUCCGAUCUAAUUUAAUUUUAAAUUUAAUCGAGAUUUAAUAUGACUAUAGGAUUAAAGUAAACUCACAAAUACAAUAAUUCUCUCUAUAACAAUCCCAUUUGUCUAUCCAAUUUUUCCUAUUAUAAAGAGGUGGUUGUCACCUAUAGGCUAUAUUGUUAUAGGGAGAUAAUCGUUGUAAACUUAUCAUCGAAUUCAUAUGGUGAAUUUCUAUCAAAUAAAGAAAGUGAGAAUUAUGUUAAAAAAAAAAAGAAGAAGAAGAAAAAAUGAGAACCAAAACAACAAAAUUAAAAAACGUACGACAGGUGCAUAGAUUAUUGCUUUUAUGCAUCUUUAAUUUUACAUUAUUUUAUAUGGUUAAUUGUAAAGUUCAUAAAUCUAAUAAAUUCAAUUAAUCAAUAUGACUUAUCAAAUUAAAUUAAUUAAUUUAUGACGAGUUACAAAAUUUAAGUAAUCAAUUUACAAGUUUACGAUGAUUCAAAUUCAUAGUAGAAUAUUUAAUUAGAGAACUUAACAAUUUAUUGAAUUAAUAUCUUAAAUUCCACUAAUUGAAGAUUGUUUUCAUUUAAUAAAAAUAUGAUAAGUAGAUUAUUUUUCACGUGAAAUUUAAUCACUUUAUUAAAAUAAUAUUUUAAUUAAGAUAAUUUUCAUUUAAGAAAUGAUAAUUAAUAAGCUUACUUAUAUGAAAAAAACUAUAAAUUCACUUAAAAAUUUAGAUAAUAUGUUGUUAUGGAGAAUUAAUUUAAUAAAGAAUAUACUUCAUAACUAUAAAUAUUAUGGUUAUAAGCAAAAAAAAAAGUUAUAAAAUAUUAAAAUAAAACAUUUUACUGAUUAUAAAAAAUAAAAGAAAUGGAUAGGAGAGUAAAGUAAAUAAAGAGUGGAGCCAGCAAUCACAUGGAAAGCGUUUUUGCAUGAAAGUCCUUCCAACAAAAUAACUUCCCAAUCACGUGCCCCUUUAAUUAAUGUAUUAUUAUUAUUAGGGUUUACAUUUUUAUUUGGUUUUGUUUUUUGGGGUAGGCCAUGACCUACUUUUUUCUUUCUUCAUGACUCCCAAUCUAGUUCCAAUUUUCAAAAAGAGUGGGGGAAUAUCCUGAAAUCUGUUCCAUGGAUAUAAAGCAAAUUUCACUGUUUGGGACAGAAAAUUUGUAUUAUGAUGAAAAAGCUCCUGUUUUCUUGCUACUGUUUAUGGGAUAUUGCUAUACACAAAUAACACUGCUUCAACUAUGAAUCUCUUUAUUUAUUUAUUUACCUAUAUCAGUUUUCACCUGAUUUCUGCCAGCUGGGUUAAUACAGAUAAAAUCAUUCGAAUUCAAGUAAAUUUUUUAAUCUAGUCAAGUUUCUUCGAAAUGAAAAAUCGUUUAUACAGGCCAUUCACAGAUUAGUAUAACGGUAAAAUUAUAGUUUGAUCCCCACAAAAUUUUAUUUAUUUUUACCUGCUAAGACAAUUUUUUGAAUUUGCCCUUGGUUAUGUCAAGUUACUUGUUUGGAUAAUUUCAAAUUUAAGUUGUUUCAAAUUGGAUCAUUUUGAGUUUGAGUCAAGUUUCUUGGAUUGAGUAAAUCUCAUAUUCAAGUUUACGAGGUUUACUUAUUUUGAUUAUUUUGAGUUCAAGUUAUUAAUUUUUGUUUAGUAUUCUUCAUGUCCGUUAUACAAUCCAUCCAUGUUCAGGGUUUAUGUCUAACCAUUCAAAUCAAUUCGGAUUCAAAUAAUUUUGAGUUCAAGUUUACCUUCACUUUCAAGACUCAAACAUUACACUCAAUAUUUGUUAAACUUUUUAAGAUCAAAUAAACCCAAAUUAAUGGGUUAAAAUUUUAAGUUGGAGUUACAAUGCAAGAAUUAAUAGCCAUUAAUGCUAUAAAAGUAAAUCGGCUGGGUGUGUUUUUUUUUUUUUUUAAUGUGGGGGCGGCUUGAUAGGGAUGAAACGAGAGAAAGAUGUUUUCAAUGGUAUUAAAACUAGGUAGCAGCAACAGGGGUAGGGGGCAAAACCAAUAGUGUGGCAGAUAGCUUAAUGAAAGAUAAAAGAAAGGACCUGGAAAACUUACCAGAAGAUAACGGAGCAUUCUGUCCUCUAACUUAAAUGGGAUCCCAUUAUCUAUUAUGCAAAUUGGCAACCACCAUCAUCAUUCUCUGAAUCAAAGCAUCUAUCUGUUUUGAAGCUAAUUAAACCAAACAAUUGCGUGAUCAGUGGACUGCUGUGGGGGACUGGUUUUACAGGAACCAGUCAAGGUACAUGCUAUAAAUGUUGUUUUUUUUCCAAAACUCUAGGCGAGGGAUGUAAAGUUAGGAUAUGCCAUCGACUUUUGAUAAUUAUUGAUUAUUUAUUCGGAUUGUUAAUGAGAUUGGAUAUUCAACCAAUUUAUGUUGAUGAUACAAAAUAUUAAAUAAAAAAAAGGAAAGAGAAUGAGAAAUUAAUGUAAGUCUGAUCAAGAUUAAAAAAUAUUAUUUCGAUCACUCUACUUCAAGCAUGCUCUUAAAAUUUUAAUUUAUAAAUCACGAAUUUACUUGUUUACUUACAAAAUAAAUACACUGAAAAAUGGUUCCUAAUAGAACAUAUUAAAGUGCUGAUUUAUCAAUCAAUUACAAUCCCACUAAACUAGUUUUAUAAAAAAAAGGCUUACAAACAUCCUUGUAAAGUUUAGAACAGAUAAAAAUUUAUAAAAUAUGUCUUCAAGUCAAUUUCCAUAAAUCAAGAGAUCCGAUUUGCUUGAUUCGGCUCAAAUGGAUCUUCAAAAUUUUGUUAUUUCAUAAGAUCGAUACUCAAAUAUGAGUUAACACACAUUCACAAAAUCAUCUAAGUCAUAGUUCAACUAAUUUUGUUUAAAAGAUUGCCAACUUCAAAUAAGGCAAGUUACGUGACUUACAUAGUGCCACCAAGUGUAGUUGACACUGCUCACAUAAUUGUCUCAACAAUCUCUUCCAACAAGACUUCCAUAUAUAGAGCUAAAAUCCAGUAAAGCUGAAUUAAUCCUGAUUAGUCCAAAUCUCAUCAAAUUGAUUAUCUUUUAUAUUAUAUACAAAGGUUUGAGAUAAAUCUUCAUAAAGUUAACACAUAUAUUCCAACCUCAUCUCCAAUUAUGAUCACGAGAUUAGUUGCACAAAACCCUCAAAACAAUGUAAGCAAAUAACCAAAAUAUUUUGGUUAAAUAUCUCAACAAAUAAGGGAAGUUAUAAAACUUACGUAGUGUCAACUGUAAUUGAAACUGCUUGUGACAUUGCUCUCAUAAUUAACUCAACACAAAACCAUAGCUCCAAUCAAUCAAAUAGUUUUAAAAAGAAUAGCAUCGGAUUGAAAUCAACAUUUAAUGCUAAAGUUGAUAGCUAAACCGAUGGAAGGAUACAAUUGAAAUAAUACUUAGAUUCAAUUGAAAUGUUUUGAAGUUUAGAGACCAAUUAAAAUUGACCCAUAAUUUAGAGUCAUUUAGUUAAACUAACUCAAAUGCUUUAUCACCUGGACUAAAAAAUAUGUAUAGGAUACUAAUAUGCUUAAAUUUUCUUACUUAUGUAUUCAUGACCAAAUAUGUAUGAUACAAAUUUCAAGUACAAUAACACAAUAUAUUUUUUAUUAACACCAAAACAAUCACAAUAAUCAGAAAAAAAAAUGAGAUACAUGAUUAUUAUGUAGAAAUCCCUUUAAAGUAAAGGGUGAAAAUCAUACAAAUUGAGAAUCCACUCAAAAGCUCCGCUGUAUUCAAAGUUUUUGCUAUAAGAUCACAAGCAUAUAACUCGAAUAAAACUAACAAUAAGUAAUCUCAAUCAAACAAAAAAGAAAAAUUGAGAAUAUCACCAAAAAUAAAAUUAAUUUUAAAAUUGAAUUCUCGAAACUAUAAUACAAGCAUGAAAAAUUCAAUAGUACACAAGAUCUUCAAAUCUACUGGACAUUGUAAAAAAAAAAACCUAAAUUAAUCAGAGUGGAUCAGAAUUCAUCAAAAUUGUUUGCUCCCACUUUUUUAAGUCCUACUCACUUUCUCUAAAACCCCCUUUUAAAAUAAAAUCUGUCCCACCUUUUUAUUCAAACAAGUAAUAAGGAUAUUUAUAAUCUUUAUCAUAAUGAGGAUGUUUAAGACAUCCUCACUCACGAGUCCGUUCUUCAUCACUUAAAAUCAAAUGGCACCCUUUGGCCCAAUAAAUGCCAUGUAAGGUAUGAGUUCAAGGCAAAUGUUAAAAUUUACUUGGCAGGUGAAGGCGCUCUUAUUUCGGUGAAUUCGUCAUUUUCUUAAACUUUCAGCAGAACCGAAAGACAUCUGUCAAUAGAUAAAACCUAAAAAUAAAAUCGAAUAAAGACACCCAAACUCAAUACUAGACAUAUUGAAGGGUAGAUUGACUCUCAACAAACAAUACUUUGUAGAGUCAAAAUCCCCUCAACAAAAAGUACAUUCACUAAAUUAGUUCUAGACAAUCCCAACAAGGACUGCUGUUGAGACGCAGUGCACACGGACAAGAAACUACCUGGAAAAAGAAAACUAGCUAGCAUCACAAACUGAUAGUAAUAGCUUAUUUUGCUCGAUUAUUUAGAGAAACUACAAAUAAAACACAUCAUUCUGGAAGACAAUUGUCUAAGAAAAUUAUGGCAUCUAAGCGAUUAUCAGCAAGUGCUUCCAAAAUGCAAAUAAAACAAAUCAUUUUGAGUGCCAAUCUAAGAAAUUUUUUAUAAAUCUCAACAUUUAAUCAUAUUGUAUCUUUUCUGCAUUUUGGCUGCAGCCAUUCUUACAAGAAAAUCUUCCUCAAAUGUGAUUUGAAACUUUUAACAGGAAAAAGCAGAAUUGAAAAACUUCUUAACCUGUUUCCUUCUUUCCAAGAUGAUAUGAAUUGUUUCUUUUAGUAGCAAGGGAUCUCCAUCAGGGCCAGCAAUAUCAUCGAGCAAAACAUCUCCAGCAUCAUACCUGGAUAUUGGAACAAGGAGAAAGAUGAAAAAAAGUAAGCUAACACACAAUCAUCGGGAUGUGAGGAUGAAGUCAUCGUCCUAUUUAUAAGCGACUAAAACAAAAAGCCACUAGGAAAUGAGUGACAAACUAGUUCGGAGAAAAGGGAGGUUAAAGAAAUACGUACAGUAGGUUGAAAUCUCAAGAAUUGAGAAAUUAAAACUUUAUCCCUAUAUCUGUAAUAAAUUCUCAAAUUAUAUUAAAUUAAAAUAUAUGGAUACGAUAUUCAAUUUGAAGAUACUACAAGGAUAAAACUGUAAAAAAUUCUCAAAUUAUAAUGUUUUUAAUGAAAGUAAGGUCUUUUCAAAUAUUUAAAAAUUAUAUAAAUAAUUCAUUUCUUAAUUUUUUUUUUAAAUCCACCGUUGUUCGGUGUAAUGGUAAUAUUACAUUUAAAAAAAAGAGAAUAUUGAUUUAAACCUUAAAAAUAAUAUCUCAAAUUUAAAAGUAAUAAAGAAGUACAUAUUUUAACUUAUUUUUUUCUCCAAACAUAUAUAGUAAGUCCAAACCAGCAAAUAAGUUGGUGCCACGUGAGAGACAAAAAAUCUCUCUUAAAAAAAAAAUCGUAAUCCACAAAAUCCACUUAAAAUAAAAAAGGAGGGGAAAACGCUAUCUUCUUUUCAUCAUCACUCAAAGCAAAGCUUCUCUCAGUUACUCUACAAAAAGAAAUGGCCGUCACCGAGCUUACUGAACAAACCCCCAAAGCAAAAUCCCUAAAUUCAUUUCCUACAUCUUUAUUACUCUCUUCGGCAUUUAUUCAAACACCAUUCGCACCUCCAAUUUUGAAGCCAUCAAAGCCCAAUCUCGUGCCCGAAAAUCUAAUUCGUGACCUUCACCAUUCAAUCGUUUCAACCGCCGAUAACUUCUUGAAUUCCCUCCAACAAAAUCCGGUUUUCAAAAAAAUCAUCUCAUUGUCCACUGAAUUCCAAAGCUUCUUCAAUGAGGUCCCAUUUCUAUCAUCUGUCUAUUUUGUUUAUUUACAACUUCUAGUUGAAUACUGAUUUUAAUUUCUACUCUCUUCUUUUUCGGCAGGUGAAAACUUGCAGAAACCAGUACGUGAAGAUUAUGAAUUAUUCUCCAGUUUCAAAUCACAAUUUCGCUGCGGUUUUGCCUGGUGAUUCAGUGGCAGGGGUCGUGGUUGCUAACGGAAUCCUAAAUUUCUUAAACAUUUACAACACGUUGUUAAUCGUUAGGCUGGUUUUGACUUGGUUCCCUAACUCACCUCCAGCCAUUGUUAGUCCCCUCAGGUAUUUCUACUCCCUAUAAUCAAAUUGGUAAAAAGACCUUUUCAGUCCUUUCAAUUUCGAAAUUUGGCAAAUUAGUCCCUCUAAAAAAUCAAAGCAAUUUAAUCCUGUUCAUAACGUUUAAUGUUUUUAGCGUUUAGUCAUCAAUUGUACAUGAUUUUGAUUGGUAUAAUAAUAAAUUUAGCCUUUAAUAUUAACACAUUUUGUCAAAUUGGUCUUAAUUUAACAAAUUUAUCCCGUAACAUUUGUGUAAAUAUGUAAAUGUUGAGAUUGAAUUUGUUAAAUUUAUUAAAAUUAAUGUUUAUUAUACCAAUCAAAGUUAUGUCCAAUUGACAAAAAAAUAUUAAUGCCAUGCUUAACUAUCCUUAAUUGCUCACCUUUGAAAUUAUCAAGGAGUAAAUUGCGGUUUUUUUAAGAGGAACGCUCAAUUUCGAAUUGAAAGGGACCGGAGAUAUUUUUACCAAUCAAAUUUCAAAUAAAAUAUUUUAAUUUAAAGCUUUUUAACUUUGAUUAUUGAUCAGUACUAUAUGUGAUCCGUACCUGAACAUAUUCCGGGGGAUAAUUCCACCAUUGGGAGGAACAUUGGAUCUAUCUCCAAUACUUGCAUUUCUGGUUCUAAACGCAUUUACUAGUACCGCCGCAGCACUCCCGGUGGAGCUUCCGGUGGCUGGACAACCUCUGAGAAGAGCUUCAUCUCCUUCGUUCACUGCUUUAACCUCGUCGCAGAAGAAAUGGAUGAGACGACUCAACGAGAGCCGGUCCAAGAGCUCCAAAUCGAAUGCCACCAUUUAAACUUAGCACUUCCUUUUGAAUUAAAUAAAGGUCCUUUAAACCUCUUACUCUGUAUCAGUUUAUCACUGGAAAUUCUUUUGCUAUAAAACUACUCAAUUUUCCAUUUUGUUUUUUUGUUUAAUCAUCUUGAAGGAUCAAGGAUAUUUUGCAACUAUGUUGCUCUCAACAAGUGACUUAUAUUUCAUAGGUCAGGGGUUCAAAUCCCACAAAGAGCGAGACGCUUUUGUCGCCUCUAGGUGGGUGGCCAUACUUCUAUAUACGGUUGAGGCACCCCCUCCGUAAACCGUAUACGGCUCUCUAUGGAGGGGGAACAAUACCUUACAUUGUUGAGGGAUCAAGUCGCAUCUUCAAGGACGACACUUUGAAAACUUCUCCUGGGGGAGCCGAUCGCUCCCCACAAUACUCUUCAUUCUUUUUGAAGUAACCAUGUUUGACACUUGUGUGUCCAACAUACUAUAAAAACUUAAGAAAAUCUAACCGUAUUGGUGUUGGGUACUCACACCCGAGUCCAAGUAACAUAGUUUUACAGCUGAGAUGAAAAUAGAAGAAAACCAUAUAGAAUAAACAGAAAUAGUCUCAACAAUGGAGAAAAAUUCUAUCUCUUCAAUUUAAUUCAUAUCAUGUGAACUAUCCAAAACAUUUCAUUGAGCAUUAUACAGGUUUUGGAUGAUUGUGAAUGUAAUAGGACACCAAAAAGAAGUGAGAUGUAUGUAUCUCUAAAGAGAUUAGCUUGGUCUGGUGUAUAGUAAUUAUUUUUGUAGGGUAUGUUCUGAUAGGGCUUUGAAUGAAUCAGUAUUGCUUUUGUAUAUAUGUCAAUGAAUGAAGCUGAAGCUAGCAAACUGAGGUUAUUCAAGCUGGCACUAAUUAGUGGAGACUAUCGACCGGUGAAUACCACAAUGGAGCUUCUCGGGGUUCAAGCACGUUGAGAAAUUCCGAUAAUGUUGCCAUCUUCAGUCCAAUGAUCUGGACCUGGGGAUUUGAAUGCCCUUUUAGAAACACGUCGGUGAUCUGCAUUGAACUCAAAAAGGUCGAUGAUAAGAAGCGCGUUUUAAUUUGCAGAAGCACAGAAAUCUAGCAUUAAACUAUGGCAAUCCUGCGGUGAUAGGAUGAGUUUUAGAGAGACAGCGAGAAAGUGUGGCAAGUUUACCUGUGUACAUCCGAAGAGUUUUAGCAGCUUCAGUGAUGAGCAACUAUCUACAACCAACCCUAGUGCCUCAUCGGUUAAAUUCCGGCACCAUGAUAAGUCCAAACAGAACAAUUUUCUCGAACAUUUGGAAAGCGAUAUAGCAGUGUUCAGUCCCACCUGUUUCAAGUUGCUCAAUGCGGUAAAUGAAUUGUUUACCAGUAACCACAUGUUCAUAAUAUGAAAUACGAGAAGCUGAAGCGGUUCAAGAGAUGGAACAUGAAUGUCAAUGCAAGCAUUUGCCUUUAAGCACAAAAUAGUGAGUCAUUCAAUCAACAAUCACUGCAAGAUAAUAGGUCCAAAAGCAUAAGAAGGCAAGGCAUAUCUCACCAAGGCAAUAUUAUUUAGGGAAAGUUCAGUUAGAGAACUUCCAGAGGCUUCCAAGAAGGCGGCAAUAGCUUCAUCGCUGUGGCACAAAAUGAAAUUCAUCAAUUGCAGGUAUCGCUUCCCUCAAAGUUGAAACAAAUAUAUCAUUAUUUACAGAGACUCGGAAAUGAACAGAUAUAGAAAGAGAAGGAAACCUGAAACCAUUGCGGCACAGUUUAAGCCUGUUAAUUGAUCGACAACCAUUAGCGAGAUAUCUCAUUGAUAAAUCCGUCAACUUCCGCAAGUAAGAUAGGUCAAUGGCGCAUAAUUUGGAACAAUUUUUCCCCACAAAUUUGAGAGAUACAUCAGUCAAUUCCCUACAUCAGAAAAACACUUUUUUGUUACUACAUCCUAUGAUAGAUAUACCUCUGAAUUAAUUAGAUCUUGGAGAACUUACACACAACUAGCAAAAAUUAGCUCUUUCAUAUUUUUGCCACAUGCUUCGACCAUUUUGAUGACAAAGUCAUCACAAACGGUCUGAAUUCCAGCCAUAGACAGCACUUCCAGACAUUUAAGCUUCUUCAGUGCAGGCAAUACAACCAUGGCUUCUAUAUUAUGACAUUCAUCUAAAUAAAGCUCUCUUAAGGUGGAUUCAAAGCAGUUAGCUAAAUCAUUGAUGCCAGAUGAUGUGAGAAGGGAGCACUGGCUCAGAUUUAUUGACUGCAGAGCAGGUGCAGACAAUGCGAGUGCAUUUAGCCCUUGGUCCGUCAAGCGAUAUGCACCAUUCAAAGACAAGGUAACUAAAGCAGGAAGACUUUUCGAUGAAUGAGCUAAGGUAUCUUGUAGAACAUAAUCCGGUAUACAUGAUCCACACAAGUCAAGCUGCAACACCUGCCUCCAGAGUCAGGUAUAAAUAAGUAUCUCUCUCUCUAAUAUAUAUAUGUAUAUAUAGCGGAAGCAAGCAAAAGCUAAGUACUAAUCUUUCAAUUAUAGCAACAGGACUUAAAUGCAGGACAACAGGGUCAAAUGAUACCUCUAAGUCAAUUGAUCAUCCGGCAAUUUUGGAUUCAAAUUAAAAAUGGUAAGAAAUAGAACAAAAUGUGUGAAAAUUUACUUACAAUCAAGUUUCUAGUAUCACAGCAGCCAAAUAUCUUGGUGAAUUCGUCUUCAGUGACUCGGGAGCAGUCAUUGACUCGAAUCUCUGUUGGUGAUCCGCUAGCAAGAAGUUGUAAAAAAUGGGCAUCCAUUUUCCUAGAAUUGGACACCGAUCGACUAAGCUUGUGCCGCAGCAUAUCAGGAACAUGGUUGAGUGAUACAAUUGCUUCGGCAUUCUUCGCGAGAGCACACAAACUAAGGUCGAGCAACGAAGGAACCUCACGAGCCAUAAAAGAGGUUCUUUUAACAUUCUUAGGUACCCAUUUGAACUCAGCUCCCAAUCCUUCACUUGAAAACUUCUUCCUUCUUGAAGUUGAACUCGAAAUUCGGGUUUUAAUCACCUCCAUUGCUAUACUAAAAGGAGUUCCUAAUUCUUCUUUAUCAUCAUCAUCAACAAUAACACUCUUCGAAGCACCAUCCUUAGUAGAAGAAGAUUUUAAAAGGUCUCCUUCAGAAUCAACUUCACGUGCAAGCCUUUGAGCAAAAUCUUUAGCAAUCUCAUGCUGUCUUUUUGAUUUCUCCUUUUUCAAGAAUUCUUGAAAAUCCUCCAAUAAAUCAGCCCUUUCAUGGUUAACAGUGUUAUCACGUGUUAAACCUUGAAAUUCAAUGUAAUUUGGCUUCUCUUCUUCAACUGGUGAAUCCAAAAUCGAAACCCAUUUCUCUGGGUCUAUUUGCAUCAAAUCAUGAAGAAUCUCUUUUUCGUCUAAUUCAAUACCAAACCCAUCUAAUUUUGCUUUGCCUUUUUCUUGAACGGAAAAUUUCCUCUUUUUAAUUGAACUAACGAUUUCAACAUCUGGGUAUCUUUCCUUUCCUUUCAAAUCGACACCAAAAACAACACUUCCUGAGUUUGUGAAGUUUUCUGUUUCUUUCUCGGGAAACCCAAUAUCAAAAACAACAUUGGGGCUCCUUUUCGUCUUUAUACUUGAAGGACUAACGAUUUCAACACUUGGGCUUCUUUCCUUUCUCUCCAAAUCGACACCAAGAACAACACUUUGUGACUCGGUGAAAUUUUCCGUUUGUUUCUCCGGAAACCCAAAAUCAAACCCCCAAAACUCGUUCCCAAAAUCAAUUUCCUCAGGCGGCUGCAGAUUAAGAUCGAGACCUAAGAACGUUGCAUGCUGAUGCUGCUGCUGCCUAUAAAAAACGACAGCUUCUUCUUCUUCCUCCUCUUCAUUUCUUUCCUUAUUCUUUCCUUCACUUUCUUCCAAAUUCCCUUCAUUUUCCCGAGAAUCUGUUUUCUCGAAAAACCCUACAUCACCCAUCCCCACUUUCUCGUUCUUCUUCGAUAUUCGAUAUUAAAUGUUUUUAAAAAAAACCUAGUAACGAAAAUCAAGCUCUUUAAGCAGCGCCCGCGAAAAAAUUUUAACUGAAAAUUUCGAGUUCCGUGCUAAACCUAAACCUUAAGAAAGAGUGUGUUUUUAAGUUUCAUCUUACAAGACUUGUUAAUUAGGAACAUAAAUUUUUAGUUUUGUUUGUGUUGGGUUGAUAUGAUGAUGCCACGUGGAAUUUGACUUUUGAUCAAACGGUGGGUGUAAAAGUUAUAGUCAAUACUAGUGUGAUAAUGACUAGUGCUUUUCUGAUGAAACUUGAAGCACAUUAUUUGAUGGGGAAAGUUGUGAGAAGGUGAGACUACAUUUUGUAGGAAAAUGAGGCUUGAAAGAUUAUUGGAAUUUGGAUGUGAAAAGGGUCAAAAGUAGAAUAAAAUCCAAUCAAAUUAAAAGAGAAUUGAAGAUAAAAAGGUGAGGACUUUGUUGGAAAAAAUAAUUCCCUUUGGGUUUUUAUAGGCCGAGAUUGGAAUUGCUUGCUUUCGAUAUGUUCCAAGGUAGAAAAAUUGUGUCGCACACUGCCUUGCCAAGUGGAGCAUUCAAAUUUUGAACGACUUCAUUGUGUUUGUUGAACCACCUUAUGGUGUCUCCCAGUCAAUGCUAUGCUACUUGAACACAUAUUCAUUGGAUCGAAAAUUGAUCAAGGUACCUAUUUGGAAAGUGCUUUUAAACUUGUUAGAUCGAGAAUCGGUACAAACCGGUUAAAAAAUUAGUUGAAUCAACGGUCAAACUGGUUGAAUCAAGAUUUUUAAAAUUUUUGAAAUUUUUAAUAUUUUUAAUAUUUUUUUAAUUAAACCGGUUGGACCGGUAAAUUGGAGGCAUGAAUAAUUUGACCACCUGUCAAAUUGCUCCCAAUUGUUAUCGGCAGAUGCUCUUCGAAUAGCAUUUCCGAGAUCAGUUACUAGUUAAUUGUAUAAAGUUUUUACUCUCUUAUUUGAUCGGGAAAAAUGUUUCUUAUAAACAAAUUGAAAUUUAAAAAAAAAAUUGCAUCAGCAUUUUAACUAGAAAAUUUAACGGUUGUUUAAACUAACUAAUACCAUUAUAAAAGAAGAGGGAUUAAAUUAUAUCAAAUUAAAAUAUAAAAACAAAGGAGCAUUUGCUUUUAAAUAAUCUCGCAUUCUCGGGGGUAAGGUUAGAUUUUGGGUAACAUUCCCACAUUUGGGUUCCAAAUUUCACCUUGAGCUAGUAAUCUUUCAUUCCUAACAGUGUUAAGGUUCCAUAAUAUAGAGGGGACAUUUAGUUCACAGAAUGUAAGAUUACUUUUGAUAAUAGGAUUACCGAAAUGUAAGAUUACUUAGUUUAUGUGAUCACGACCACAUCAUGUUACUGGGCCUCUAAUUGGAGUCAGAUCCAAUCACCCAAAUCGAAUGGGCCGAGAUUUUUUGGGCCGAGAUGGGCUUUUGAAGCAACAAAAACACUUAACCAACCUUUUUUUUGAAUUAAAGGCGUUGGGCCUAAGGAGGCCAACCAUGGAUCGAGUCAACAUAAUUGGGCUCGAACUCAUGUGAAGCUCAAAUGCAAAAUGAAACGAACCCAAUUUCAAUCUUUAUAUUAUGGGAUUCAUUAAUGUUCUAUGUCCUAAUGUGUGUUUGAUAAUAAUUCAUGCUUUUAUAUCCUGCUUUUAUUAUUGUCAUGUUUAUUUCUUGUCCAAGUAUGUUAGUUGUGUCAUUAGGACUAUCAUAUGUUAAGUGUGUUUAAUUAUAUUGUUGUGUCAUGUUUUAAAGUGUUAUAUAUGUUUGCGUAAUUUGUUUAUGUCACUUGUUUAUGCAUCAAAGUAUCAUGUUUUUAAGUGUUUGCAAUUGUGUUCACGGCUUGAAAGUCAUUUUUUGUUGACUAAAUUAUUUUUAUAUGAAAUAAACGUAGUUUAAAAGUACUAUUACAUUUUGUAGAUCAUACGUUUCGUAAAUUCUAAAUUUAGACAUAAUAUAGGGGGUAAAACCUGAAUUUAACAUUGUUAAAUAUGCAUUAGGUUUGUUAUAUCUCUCCAAAAAAUAGACACUGCCAAGCUUUAAAGGUAUUGUUGACUCUGCAUUGACCCUCUAAGCAUAACCAUUCGACCCACUUCAAAUGGAACCUAUCACUUGUGUUCAUAAGAGAACGUUAUCCUAAACACACUCAAGGAAACCAUUUAAGCUUUAUUACAUUAUACAAAUAAAAUAUCAUAAUACGUGGCCAUGAUUAUCCAUCCAUUAUGUGUUUAACGAAAUUAAACUACGGGAUUAAUCCUUUUUAUACCCUAGAGUUACUUUGAAUAUUUAUCUUUUCAAUCAAUCUGUCCUCUUAUCAUUAUUUCGACUCUCAACCUCUACAAAUGAACCGACUUCCACUACAUCAAUUUGAUCUCCUCCCCUAAGAUUAAUGUUUAUACAAGUCACAUGGCACUUAUGAAAUUGACCACUAAAUUGAACUUUACAAGUUUCAUCCUUAUAGUGUUAAGCAUGUUCUUUCUUCUUUUCUUUUUGUCGUUAAUCACAACUGUUUUCAAGUUGAUGUAACGUGUAUCUAAAAAUAGUUGAUGUUACAAAAUUACACGCAUUUAAUUUUUAUAUAUUUAUGAAAUUUCAUGACGUGUACUUUAAUCUAAAAUUAGAAUAUGAGAUUUAAUUAAAUUGGUUUGUACAAUUAGAUAUUCAAUAGAUUCUUGAUUUGUUUCGCAUCAAUAUUAUUGUUAGUAUAAAAAUACGUAGUUUAAAUUCGUAAAAACGCGCUUUUUUUAUUUAAAAGUUGAAUAGAAAUUAUAAAUAAUUCAAAACAUUACAUAAAAAUAUUUAAUAAAUUUUAAAUUUGAGUCUUUUUCAUUUCUUAGCCGUGAUGUUUUAGAAGAGGUUUUACCAAAUCAAACUAAUUACCAACUAGAUUUGAUUAUGAAUCAGGUAGUUCGUUUGGUUCAGAAGGUUUAGUUUGAUUCAGGUCGGAUUUAAAUAGAGAUUUUUAUGUCUUAAUUUAAAUAAUAAAAUAAUUUUAAAUUUAAAUUAAUUAUAAAAUACUAAUAAUAUAAAAAUAUAUUUUAAUAUUUUAUUAAAUUUUAAUAGUAAAUCAAAUUUUUAGGCUGAGCAAGCUGGCUCGAAAAACGGGUCUAUGUUGAAAAUGUUCUAGAAUCAAGCUGCAACUCGGCUCGGCCCAUAUACAACUCUAUUACCCAUAAGUAUUGGAUCUAAUGAUUAAACACAUUGUACUCCUAGAGAGAACACAAGUUUGACUCUGAACAUGAUAUUAUUGGAAGAAGUAAUCAUGAACCUUGAAAAAAAAAUCUUUAUGGACCGUAAAACAAAUACCUUAAUUAUAAAAAAUAAAAAUCAAACUAAUUUGUUAUUCAACCAUAUAAAUUGAGAGAGAAAAAAAAGGAGAGAACUUAUCAGGAACAAUUUUUUAAGAAUCGAUAAAAUCAAUUUUGUUAUGAAUAUUUUAUUAUUAAGUAGAUGUCCAUUAAGAUCAAGAUAAAUUUAAUGUACUUUAGGACUCUAAUAUUAAUUAAAGGUAGAGUUUUAUUUCAUUUAUAUAUCUUAUGUCUAUUAAUAUAGAUUUUGGAGAAGCAUUGUAAAUAUCUCUAUUCAUCAAUAAAAAUAUGUACUUUUUUUGCUCUCUUAUUUCUUGUUCUUUUACUUUAUUAUUUAUGUCAUAAUAUGUUAUCAGUGCGACGCUUUUUUUCCACACAUUCCGUCAUUAUUUUUAACGCUUUCUUUAUUUUCCCAAUAAAAGGUGCAUCUAUAUCUAGUAUGUUUUUCCCAAUUCUUUAUAGAUUUUACUAUUUGUAAUAGUGUGCUUGUGAUAAUAACCAAAGUGAUUACGAUGAUGCUAACUAUCUUUAUUUUUAGUUUUUUAAAAGUUUUUCAACGCUGCUCUAAAAUAAAAAAAACCAUACAAACAAUUUUCUCUAACGCUAUCAUAACUUACAAUUAUGACUUCGUCAGUAUUUGAAUCAAACCCGAGGUAAGAUCGGAAUCAAAGGCUUAAAAAGGUUAAAAUAUGUUAUACGUCUUUGGAAUUUAGUCACCCACUUUUCAGAUAUCAAAAUUCAGGUCUAAUUUGUUAAUGCUGCUAUUUUUUUUUGUUGAAUUAGUUGUGUGACAUUUUUGAAAUUAAGAAAAAAAAUAUUUACUUGGUAGCUAUAUAGCUAAAAAAUAGUGCUGUAAUAAACCUCAAUUUAAUAAAAUAAUUUUAAUAGUAUUAAAUAGUUGGACCUGAAUUUUAAAAUUUAAAAAAUAAAGGAUUAAAUUCCUAAAAAUAAAAGUAUAGAGAAUAAAUUUUAAAUUUAAUAAGAGUUCAGGGACUUAAAUCAUAUUUUAACGUUUAAAAACUAGUGGCACCCAUUUUUUUAAAAAUUAUUAAAAAACCUUGAAGUUAAGAUUGUGAUUUAUGAAUAACUUUUAAAUAUACAUAUAUAAACUAACGGAUAAGAUUUUUUUUUUUUUGUGUCACUGUUUUUUUUUUCUCCGGACAAAUCCACCGAUGUUGUUGUGUCGGACCGGCCACAAUUGGCGGCUACCCUUUCCUUCCCUUUCCUCCUCCAAACCUAAGCAAUUCUCCAUCAGGUCCGCCGUGUCACCACCGGAAUGGCGGGAGAGCCGGCGGUCGGUUUCUCUAUCUCUGUUUCUAUCUCACUUGCUCCUUGCACCUAAACGUACGUUUCGUUGUUUUUCUUUUCUUUCAUUGAUGCAUCUAUCACUUUAAAAAGACUUAAUUUCAAAGCUAAAAUCAUAGUUUAUUUUCCAAUGCAGAUGCGAUUGCAGGUAAUUUCUUGGAUAAAUACGUGAAAAAGUAAUCACUUACAUCCUUUUGAAUUUGUAUUUUAUACUCUGGGUUUUAUUUAUUUAAUAAUCAAAUGAUAUGCAAUUUAACAGGAAAAAGCUGGAUCCGCUUGAGGUUUAUGUGCCUGCUGUUAUAUUGACUCAAUUACAAAUUAAAGACCUAGGUAAGUCUUGAAUUAUGGUUUGAUCCUUGAUUUUUUGAAACGGGAAUUUUCCAUAAUUAAACCUCAUUCUUGCUCUACUUUACUUUAUUCUUUUGCUGGAUGAAUGAUUUUGUUUCUUGUUUCGAGUUUGAGAUGAAGAACAUAAGUAGAGGAGAGUUUGGUUCGAUUAGAAGAUUGAAAAAUCGACUCAACCAAUCGUCCUCAUUAACCAAGCUAACUUAACAUUGUCAGUUUGAUCAAUUAAGUAGAUUAUAACGAUAACCAACCGGCUUAAUCUAUAUAAUCACCUAUAAAAUCGAAUUCACCAUCAUAACCAACUUGCACACAGGUGAAGCAAGAAAUUCACUCUAGGGGCCAAAAUUUAAUUAUAAUUUCUUGAAAGGGUCAAAAUAUAAUUUUCCAUUGGUUAAAAUAUGCCAUAAGAUUCCCUAUACUCCUCAAAAAUUUGAAAUUUAGUCCCUCUACUUUUCAGAUUUCAAAAUUCAAGUUCAACGGUUAAUAGUGUUAAAAGUAUUUUGUUAAAUUCAGAUUCAUUACGUCAUUUUUUUAGUUACAUGGCUACCAAGCCAGUAUUUUUUAUUUCAAAAUGUCAUGCUAACAAAUUUAACAAAAAAAAAACAUUGUUAACGGUUGAAUUUUGAAAUCUGAAAAGUAGAGGGACUAAAUUUCAAAUUUUCAAAGCGUAUAGAGACUUAUGGCAUAUUUUAAAGAUUAAACUAUCAUUUUUAUUUUUAUUUUUGAAGAGCUAGAAUCAAAUUAUAAAUAUUUAGGGGACCAAGACCUGUUCUCGCCCCUAAUACAGUUAAGUUGAUUUGAACUAACGUUGCUCGGUCCUAUUUUAUUUUUAAUGAUGACCUAUGUUUAUCCUACAAAAUGAAUUCCCAUUCCAUUUAUUAUAAACCCCUUCCUUUUUCAUUUUAAAAUUCUUGAAUAUGUUGUGGUUUCAUCAAAUGAAGAUUGAAGAAUAUUGUGAAACUUAGAUUUAUAAUCAUCUAACCAUUGCAGAGAAAACGUUAGAAGUUGGUGAUAAACCAGAAUAUGCAACCUGCAGAUCCCUGCUACGUUCUGGUCCGGCUGCAUCUCUUCGUGUAAAUAUACGAGCUGUAAGUCAAGUUGUUCAAUCUUUUCUCGUUUCUUUGUUACAUUAAUUGUUGGCACAUUCGAGAAUUCGUUCCUACUCCUAACCGCAUUCGUGUUUCGAAAAAGAAAAAGGAUUUUUGCAUUUUCUGAAACUAUCAACUUGCUAAGGAAAUUCUGUUCACCAGGGAAUGGUGUAUGACGGAUGGGUUAUGCUUGUUGGUAAACCAUCUGCAGUUGCACUUUCAUUCUAUUUAGUUUAUAGCAGCUAUAUCUAUAACUUUCGAGGGUAUUUUUUAUACUUUUAUAUAAAAUCCAGACAAUAGGUGAACAUGAAGGGAUUUGAACCCCAGACAUCGUGAUCUCUCUUCUUUCAACCUUACCAUUUCAACCAAAUUUAAUCUAGUAUAUACAUAGAAAAAAAUUUCCUCAAGCAGAUUUAAAAUGAUUUUUUUUUAGAUUUCCAAAUGGUAAAAGUAUUAUAGAGGCCCUUACUACAAGUCAGAUUGCAUUUUACCCCCUCUACUGAAAAAAUCGGCAAACUAGUCCUUGUGCAUUGGACCAAAGAUCAAAUUAAUCAUUCCUAUUAAAAAUUGCAUAUAUUUGUACUGUUACAAAUCGGUGUGUUUGACGAAAUAGCUGACGUACAAGGACCAAAUUUUUAUAGUAGAAAUGGAUGGAAAUUUUAACAGAAUGACUAGUUUACUCUUUGAUCUAACAUAUAAGGACUAAUCUACCCAUUUUUUAAUAGAGGGGGCAAAAUGCAACCUGACUCCUACUAUAUGAGCCUCUAUAGUACUUUUACUAUUUUCAAAUAUAUCGUGUUAUCAUCUUAGCCUUGCCUGUGAAUUUUUGCUUUCCACUGCCAAUAAGGCCUUAUGUCAAGGUUGAGCUCCUAAGAAACCUCAAUGUCUAACAUUCGAGUCCCAUCACGUGUAAAUAUCACCUGUGAAUCCUCUGCCAGGUUUAUUUUGAGUUUAAGUCUCAAUGUGUUAGCACUGUCUGAAUAUAUUUCGGUUUUCAGUCUGAUUGUGCUUUUUAUUGAUUUGUUUCUAGUUAUAUUUGAACAUGAAUUAUUUGUGACUGUACUUGCAGUUAUAACUCCUUCAAUCUCCUUCAAUAUAUAUAUAUGCAUAUAACUCUGGAGUUGCUGAAGUAUUGGGAAUUUUGUUUGGAAGUUCAGGUGGCACAAUAUGCUUCUGAUGCUGGAAAUGGUGAAAACGCUUUCAAAGACGUGGAUCAAUGUCUCAGGUACUCUAUUUAAGCAAUGGAUGAAAGUUUAAAACAAUUGUGUUCAAUUUAUAAGAUGCAAAGGCCAUUUUGUUUAAGUAGAUCAAUUACAGGGUUCACUCACUGGCUGGACAUUUGGGGAUAUUAAGUGCUUUGUUAUGUCAUAAUUUGGCAUAGGAAAAAAUCAUAACUAAACCAGAUUUAAUAAAUUACCCUUACAAGUUUGGUCAAAAUGUGAUGCCAAUCCUUGUUCUUUGGCAAAGUUUAAAAUUUAGUUCAUAUAGUUGAAAAGUUAAAAUUUAUCCUAUUACUUUUUUUAUUUAAAAAUUAUAGUCCAACUAUUGACAUUGUUGGUAUUUUCUGUCAAAAUUUACUUACCAUCAGAUAGUCCAUAAUGAUUUGUUUUUUAAGUUUAUAUGAUUACAUGAGUGUGUGUAUGAAAAAUUUUGACAAAACAUACAAACAGUGUCAAUUAUUUGACUAGGACUAUAAUCUUUAAAUAGAAAAAAAGGAAGAUUUCAUUUUUAACUUUUUGAAGUACAGGAGCAAAAUCUCAGACAAGGACAAAUAACAUAUUUUGACCUACAAGUAUUUGAUUUAAAAAAAACAAAUUGAUGCAAUUGAGCUUUAGCUUAGUUGGUAUUAUUGUUGUUGCAACAUACAAGAGGAUGUGGGUAAGAAUGCACUUAAGCGCAUAUUAUCUUCUGAUUUACGGAUUUGUAGUGUUAUUUGUAGAAGUACAAAUGGUAUAAAAAAAAAAAAGAAGAGCAAACUUAUGAGUGCAUUGUAACCUACUGUUAUUGAUUUAGAGCAUUGGAGGAACUAGAUUCCUUGUUUCUACAUGCAUCAAGAAAUGAACCAGAUGCUUCAGUAAAAGCCAUGAAAGCAAAGAUUGGUACUGCCCUCAAUGCCCUCGACAGGUAUUAUUGCUUUACACUUUCCAUAUAUGUAUAUAUAUCACUGUUGUCAUGCAUGGAACAUGUAGAUUAGGAGAGCAGAAUUCAUGUCCUUAUAAGCUAUUUCCGUUGGCAGCCUGCUUCAAACUGUUCCAUCCGAUGUAUUAAAUCAAGGCAAGGAAAUUGCUGAUGCUUAUAGAGCCCCUGAUGAUGAAGAAAUGAAGCAACCUGAGGAGUUAGACCCGGAUCUGAAGCAAUUGGAAUCAAUUCUAUAAUAUCAACCCAUCCCAUAGGGGGGUUCACUUACUGUAAUGCUAAAAUAAUUUUGUUAUAUUAAUGAAGUCUUCUGAAUUUAUAUGAUGAUAUUGGAUCAACAGACAUGUAAUUAUAUUAGAUGAUUAAAAUAUUAAUAAGAAAGCAUGUAAAACUAAGGAUGAAUCCAAUGCCUCCCCAAAUAAAAUAUUGAAAUUAUACUUUUGACCCCUUUUAACAUAAGAUUUCUAGCUUUAACUCUCACCCAUUUAUAUUUUUAUCUCGGCCCAACAAAAUAUUAUUGACUUUGCCUUGAUAAAAUUAAUUCAUAUAAGUAUCCCAAUUUGUCAAUUUUUUUUAUCUUUGAAGAUCAUAUUUGAUGCUUUUUUAAGUACUAGACUUAAAUUAAAAUACUCUACCACCAACAACCAAUAACAUAGUUAUUUGGUAUCUAAAUUUUAUUUAUUUUUUACUGUUGAAAUACUUUAGCACCAACUAAUAACAUAGUGACACAUAACAUAAUGACACAACCUCAUUUUGACAUGUAAAAAAAAUUUAAAAAGAAAUUCAAAAUUUAUAAACAAAAAUUACAUGUCAAAAUAUAAAACUGCUGUCACCAUACUAUUAGUCAUCAAUGUCAUAUUAACAUAAUUUAACAGCGUUAGUAAAAUACCUAUUAAGUCCAAAAAAGUCCUUUUUUAAGAAUUUCUCACAUAUACAAGUUAAUUAUGUGCUCUGCACUAUAAUUAUCUUACUAUAAACACUAAUAUCUCCAGAAUAGUAAUUGAAUCUUAACCCAAAGAAAAAGGAAAACCAAUAUAGUGAAUAUAGAAAUAUUGGUAAUAAUUUAUUACACUGUUACACAAGGACGCAAGUAGGUCAAGUACCUAUAUGUAUAUUUUUUUAUAUUUAUAUAAAAUAUUCAAAACAAACGGAGGAAAGGAUGCUGACCAUUUACAUACAAACAGAGCCCUACCAUAACAAAAAUACCAAGCUGUUGCUGCCAUUAAUUGGAGGCAAAUAUCCACAUCCCAAGUGAAAUAAAAAUUCUUUUUAUCAGAUUCUCAUCAUGCAGACGACAAGCUACUAAAUAUACGCUUCAAACUCGGACAAACUGCACGUAACCUCCCCAUAUUCAUCGAGCAAAUCUAUCAGACACAAGAAAAAUUCGUGAAUAUGAUUUAAGCAAAGCAAGGUAUAAGAAGUGAAUACAGAUGGGAGCAAAAAUGGAGGGGGAACAAAAAGGAAAAAGAAUGCUCUCACCUUUGGACAAAAGCGAACAUCCAAAGUCUCCAGCAUGCUACAAUGUGAUAUAGCAGUUUCAACGGUUUCUUCCUCUAUGUUGCAAGACUUCAAAACACCGAUACACAAAAUAAAACAGCACCAUAUGAGAAGCUUAUCAUUGUGACGAAAUAAACAAAUAUAACAAAGAGACCUCACAAAAACCUUCAAAAAAAAUAUAAUCAUCUGCAAAUUUGUACUAAUGAUAGAAAACCAACAGAGCAAAGAGGCAAAAAGGACCUAAAAGUUAAACCUCUAUGGUUUUAUAGACCGAGAAUGCAUACCUGAAGAGACAGACUGGUCAGUCUAGGACACCCAAGCUUCAAAAUUUCCAAAGAGCAACAAUUGCUGAUUUAUGAAAGAGGCAGAAAAAUUGAGAAGAGUACCAGAUAAAACAAAAACAGAUAAUAACCAUGAAAGGAGUUGUAUCAAUACCUUAGGUAAAGAAAGGACAGACUGUAACAAGCAAGGUCAACUUCCUUUAAAUUGACUGACAAAGAAAGAUUUAGGGAUGAUAAGUGGAAACAACGUGCAGCUGGUGGGAUGAGCACCUUCCUGAUAUUUGGACAACCUACGCAAUUGAGGUUCUGCAGUAAACGAUUUGGUUGCUCAAUUGACUCAUUCACGUUCUCAAAAGGAAACAUGCUAGAUCCGUUAAGUGAUUCAAAUCCACCACCAGUAGAACCCCAAUUUAGGUCAUGCAUAUUUAUGCAUCCAUUCAAGCUCACAUGGGUAAGAUGCGUGCAAUAAGCAAGAAGCUCCUCUAUGGCAGACUGGCACAGGGUACCAUAUGACAAGUCCAAAUCCCGGAGUUCUUGUAAAGCACCUUCCUUGUAAAGGGGCUCCAAUGAUGAGUCUGCCAGAUACUUGCAUGCUUGUAAUUUUAACACCUACAAUAAAGGAAAAGUGAGCCAAAGAACAUAGCAGUAAAUCAUGAAAACACUGGAAGCUUGAUUGAGACAAUUUACAAGAAUCUGAAAAUUUUCUUAAACUUGCUCGCAUCUUUUUUUUUCCGGCAAAGUUGAAACAAGCUUUACUAGUAGAAAAAGAAGCAACACAAUGCGUGUUAUGGGAGAAAACUCUCCUCCUAAGUAAAUAUAAUGGCAUUAGAAUUUAGAUCAAAAUACAAAAUCACUAAGAGCACAAACCAACAUGACACACAUAUUGUGGUAGGGGUGAUAAUAGUUCACAGUUCAAAUCGGUUUGGAAAAAGAUUGCAGUUGCCUUGUAGUAUUCUGGUUCUUAAAAAAAGAACCGAAUUCCAAUUAUUUGGAUCAGUUUGGUUCAUCGGUUUUUAAAAUCUUUCUAAAAAAUUCCUAUAUACUUUUGAAGUUAUUUUCACUAAUUUAUGUAUAAAAUAUUUAUUUUUAUAUUAUACAAAAACUAUAAAAAAUAAAAAUUAUAAAUAAAAUAAAAUAAAAUAAUAUUUAUUUUUAUAUUAUACAAAAACCAUAAAAAAAUAAAAAUAAAAAUUAUAAAUAAAAUAAAAUAAUAUUUAUUUUUAUACUAUAAAAAUCAAAUUUAAUAAAACCGAACCAAACACUAUGAUACAAAUAGUUUUUUCAGUUUUUUUUUCCCAACCCUAUAUUGUGGAGUACAAUGAACUUAACAUGAAUAAACCAAUGUGUUGUACGGUUAAUCAAUGUUUAUAUAACAAGGAUUUUAAAGUUACCUUGAGCUGCAAACAAGACUCAAAAACUGGCUGCAAAUUCGUCAAAAAGGUGUAAGACAAAUCAAGUGUCGUUAAAUUUGGAAGCCAGCGCAAAGAGAAAAGACCAUCAGAACCAAUAGAUGGGCAAGACAUCAAUAUUAGUGACUCAAUAAGAGGGCAGGAAGCAGUGGUUGCAGAUAAGCAAUCAUCCUUGAGUUGGCUGCAUAUAAAGUUAAAUAGAAGCGUCAGCCAUGGGUCAAACCAAAGAAUCAUAAAAAAGAAGGUAGCACAAUUGCAACAAACCUGCAAAAGGAUGCAUCAAGAGAUGUCAAUAGAGGACAAUUUAUUGAUGCUUCAGAUAAUAAACCACAUCCUUUCAACUCAAGAGACACCAUACAUGGAGCAUCAAUUCUGAGCGUGUUCAAUUUGGGGCAUAUUCCAAGAUUAAGUGACCGAAGAGCAGCCUAAAAGGAGCAAAAUGAAUCAGCUUUUAAAUUUUCAUAACAGCAUGGAAUUAUGCGAAUCAAAUAGUGGAUAAUACAUAAGCAAAUUAAUAUCAGCAGAAGUGUGCUACAGUCACUCUAAACUUACAGGACAAAAUGAUGCUUCUUCGAGAUGAUCACACCCAUCUAAGCAGAUUUUCUCAAGACAAGGACAUGCAAGAUCUAGAGUAGUAAUAGCACGACACCCAACCAGAGAAAGACUGACUAAAGAUGUACUGGACAACUGCACUGCUGUCAAGCUCUGGGCGACAAGGAAACAAGAAAUAUUUGUCAGAAAGCACAACAAAACAACAUGCAACAAUGCAGGACCAAGGAGCUAUAUUUAUUUAGUAGCAACAAAAGGUAGGUACGCAAUUGAUGCAGACCAGAAUUAAGACAGAUAAAUCUAUGGUCCCAUUUGAAGUUAUCAAUCAGCUGAUAAAGCUAAUCUCAUAGAUCUCUAUCACCCAAUCCUCGAAUGUCCUAUAUAAAAGGGCUUUCUACAUACACAUGCAUAACUGAGACA
rnacentral:lncRNA from 1 species